UUUUUUGUAGAGAUGUGGUCUCGCUCUUGCUCAGACUGGUCUGGAACUCCUGGCCUCAAACAAUCUUCCUCCCUUGGAGUACAGUUGCAUGUGAGCAGCAGUGACAGAGUGGGCAAGCCUUACCGUGGUGUAAAGCCUGUUUUCAGCAUUGGGGAUGAAGAAAAUACGACACAGAUGAAAUUGACAG